rnacentral:lncRNA from 1 species
CAGCUCGUGGCCACUGUAUUUCUCACCCAGUCCAGUGGGAAAUACACUUGGAUUAAACUUCCAUCUCAGCAGCUUUUUUGUGAGGCUAAAUUGAGCAAAAGGAGUCAGGUCAUGGCUUGGUGUCCUUGGGCAUCACCUUAAGGGCAGGUGAAUUUAACAAAAUGGGACCUUCAAAAAGCCAAGUAUUUUAAUGGAUGCUCAGCUUCUUCCCAUUAAUCUGGUGUACGGCGCUUUUAGGAAUAUAUAGGGAAUGUGCAGUUAAGUGAACUUACUGAAAAGGAGAAAGAAGCAACGUUUAUAAUACAGUUGUUCU